GCCCUGGGUAUAGCUCAGUUGGUAGAGCAGCGCAUUCGUAAUGCGAAGGUCAGGAGUUCGAUUCCCCUUAUCGGCACCA
rnacentral:tRNA from 1 species